rfam:Procavia capensis cont1.213432, whole genome shotgun sequence.
CCGAGCACAUGGGCCGGCGGCUGGGCGGGCGCGGGGCGGCCUGGACCGGGAGGCACGGCCGGGAGCCGCGGAGCCAGGAUGGGCCCGGCGCCCCCGGCCUGUCCCGCGUGGAUUUCCACGUGGAAGGAUGUGGGCGUCCCUGUGACCUUUGGCGGCACGGCUGGAUGUACCCUCCA